GACGAACCGUGCGAACGUUGUUCGGAAUCACUGGGCUUAAAGGGCGCGUAGGCGGGCCUCCAAGUCCGGGGUGAAAUCUUUCGGCUUAACCGGAAAAGUGCCUUGGAUACUGGGGGCCUUGAGGGAGGCAGGGGCGGAGUGGAAGCUUCCGGGUGGAGCGGUGAAAUGCGUUGAUAUCGGAAGGAACGCCGGUGGCGAAAGCGAUCCGCUGGACCUCUUCUGACGCUGAGGCGCGAAAGCCAGGGGAGCAAAGCGGGG
rnacentral:rRNA from 1 species